UACGUAGGGGGCAAGCGUUGUCCGGAUUUAUUGGGCGUAAAGAGCGUGUAGGCGGCCAGGUAGGUCGGUUGUGAAAACUGGAGGCUCAACCUUCAGAGGUCGACCGAAACCAUCUGGCUAGAGUCCGGGAGAGGAGAGUGGAAUUCCUGGUGUAGCGGUGAAAUGCGUAGAUAUCAGGAGGAACACCGGUGGUGUAGACGGCUCACUGGACCGUAACUGACGCUGAGACACGAAAGCGUGGGUAGCAAACAGG
rnacentral:rRNA from 1 species